CACGUAGGGGACGAGCGUUGUCCGGAUUCAUUGGGCGUAAAGCGCGUGUAGGCGGUUUCGUAAGUCUGCUGUGAAAGUCGGAGGCUCAACCUUCGAAAGCCGGUGGAUACUGUGAGACUUGAGUACGGAAGAGGAGAGUGGAAUUCCUGGUGUAGCGGUGAAAUGCGCAGAUAUCAGGGGGAACACCAACGGCGAAGGCAGCUCUCUGGGACGUUACUGACGCUGAGACGCGAAAGCGUGGGGAGCAAACAGG
rnacentral:rRNA from 1 species